rnacentral:rRNA from 1 species
UACGGAGGGGGCGAGCGUUGUCCGAAGUUACUGGGCGUAAAGCGCGUGUAGGCGGGUUGUCAAGUCCGCUGUGAAAGCCCGAGGCUCAACCUCGGAGGGUCGGUGGAUACUGACAGUCUUGAAGGUGCUAGGGGGAGAUGGAAUUACCGGUGUAGCGGUGAAAUGCGUAGAGAUCGGUAGGAACACCAGUGGCGAAGGCGGCUUCCUGGCCUGUUCUUGACGCUGAGGCGCGAAAGCUAGGGGAGCAAACGGG